UUAGAAAUGCACCAAAAUUGUGUUCUGAUGUGCACUAACUGGUGGAGGUUCUGAAUGAUAAUAAAGUGGCUACUCUAUUCUAUUGUAAAGUAAAUAAUAGCUUGAGGUGUUGUAAUGCUCCGGUCAAAGUCCAGACCUCAACCUGUAUGAAAUGCUGUGGCGGGACUUUACGAAAGUUGCAACAAACCUCAGUGAACUGAAGUAAUGUUGUAAAGAAUAGUGGGUCAUAAAGAAAAUGAUUACUUUGAAUUUUUGUUAAUCAUUGUGGUUCUGCAUAAAUCAUGGGGUAAUCUACUGUAGUUUUCACAGGACUGCGGAGAGUCCUUUUUUUUUCACAUAAUAUUUCAUUUUAAAUUUCUUCAGUACUACUUGGUAUAUAGUGACACUUAUAGGACUGAAAUUUAUAAAUACAAUUUUUUAAAUUCAUCAUUCAGUCUGAAUGAUGAAUUUAAAACCGUUCAAGGUACACUGAAAAAAAUGCAAUAGGGUGGUUGUUGAAUUUGCAUAAAAUUACUUCAUAUAUCCAGCAUGACUAAUUUAAAUUUCACGUCUAAACAUAUCUUUGUCUUUUAAUUUUCACAUAUUCUUUAAGAAUAUUCAUUCUUUUAGAACAAAUCAUGUUGAAAAGAAACAAGUUAGUAGUGUUAUUUGCUCAAGCUCCGCCCCCUGGAAAGGAAAAAUCGGCUGCACUGUCCGCCAUUUUUGUCUCUCGCUUUGGAAAAUCUACUACCAUCUGGAGUUUUACACUUGAAGGUAAAUAAGAUUUUAAAGCUAACAGACCAGUGAGAAAGAGUGUAGACCCUUUAUAUAUGUGGACUUUUACUGGGGUGUUGUUAUUUUACAGGUAUGUGGGCUGUUUAUCGAAAACCAGGAAAGGCCAAUGUUAGGCUCCAGUUAGCUAAUGGUAACCGAAAUUAUGCAUAAGCAAAUUAGUAAUUAACAUAUAUAAUGUGAGUUAAUAUUGUUUGUAUAUUCUUUCAGUCUAAAUUAACAGACUAUUACAAACUUGCAUCGGUGUCUGUAGUAAGUGGUGGUACCUGCAGUGUCUUAACCAUUAAACAAGCUAAUGUAGGGCCGGGAUAUGACUAGUUUGUUGAAACAUGUCUGCUGCUAAUGUGACUGCGCACACAUGGUAACAUUACCAGCACAUAGCCACAGCCGCUAUAAACAUGCUAAAAGGUCAAUCUAGCUUCUGUAAUCAGCAGCUGGAAGACUCAACACAGACCCAAGAUUCAGUGUAACGGUUAUCUAAAUGUUGUGUGUCCUGUUUGUAAGCGCAGAAAAAGAAAUUAAAUAAAAUGACGACCUUGAGCUUCAAGCUAAUGUAAGCGUAAUGCUAUAGCAUAAAGCUAAUGCAAUGAUGAGGUUGUUAAAUUAGUAAAAAUACAGUAAAUAUAUCCAACAUGAAUCAUUUAUAUUUUUGGUCUAAACAUAAUUAAGUCUCAUGCCUUUCACUUGUUUUAGAAGGAUGUUCAGUCUUUUAAAACCAGUCAUAUCAAAAUAACAGAAAAUAGUUAUGUUUUCUGUUGAAACUCCACCCCCCAGGGUGUGUUCUGCGAGGGAAAAUUCACUGUGGCGUCCGCCAUUUUUUGUCUUCGCUUUGUUUACUUUUGGUGCUGAGCUAUACUUUGUCGAGGUAAACUGAAAACUACAUGUUUGAGAGGAAACGAAGAGAACAUCCAUUAGAUGGGGAAGUUUUUCUCAUGAAUUGCCGUUGAGCAACAUAAUGGAAAAAACAAGUCAUUCCUUAAGUUAACUAACGAUAAUGCUAGCUUAAGCUGCGGGACAAUAUUAUGUGCAUUAGCUUUUUUGCCCUAAGUAAACCGACUUCACUAAAGUCGGUUUACUUAGGGCAUGACACCUAUGCAGUACUCAUUAGGAGAGGAAGUGCAUGACGUGGGGCUUUAUUUCAUGUUCUGGGGCAGUGAAUGUAAUGUACUGAUAACAUGUUAAAGACACAAAAAAACCCAACAAUUUAUUUUAACUGAUUUAUAGAGAGACUGAGAGGAGGGCUUAAAGAGAUAAGAAAAAAAUGGCAAUAUAAAUAUAUUAAAUUUAUUUUUUCUGUAUCGAUAUAUGGUGCUUAUCCCUGCUGAAGGGCAGAUUGGUGUUGCUUCAGAACAAUUCUCUAGCGCUGUUACGUAGAGGUGUUACAGUUAAGGUUUUAAUAACAUUAUUUUAUUUACUAGUGAAGAUUUGCAUAUGUUAUCUCACAUUCUGUACGGUAAAUUUUCUGGAAAGGUCAAAUUAACUAAUUUAACUAAGUAUUAAUGAAAGACCUUGAUGUGUAUAUGACAAUAAUAGAUGUAGUUUCUGGGUCAUUUUCAGAACUGCAAAAUGUCCAGAAGGAGGCAACUGCUGUGGUUGCAAACAGGCUUUGGGUGGUAUGGAAGUAAGGGCAACUAUGGAACUGCUCAGCAACAUGGGACCCAUAGCUAAUAAAUUGUAAUUUGACAAAAAUAACAACUUUGUGUGGAUGUAACCUUGUGAGAUCUGAGAUUUUGACAGCAUUUUUAUGUGACAACUUCUCUUUUUAGAUAAAUGCAGAGUUUAAGUGCAUUACCACCAUGCCACUGCAGUCCAGAUUACUCUCGCAGAUAGAUGUGCUAUCUGACAAACUAAUAAAGGUCUUCAAAAGGCGAGGAGGACAAAUAAGAAGAAGACUUCAGAACAUUCUGGAGCCCACGGCCCAGGCCACAGAUGAAGCCAUUAUCCAACGAUCUAAUAAGGAAACAACCAUGGGAAUUUACAUCAUAAAGUCAAAAGAUUCCAAUGGCAGCCCUGAGGACAUUGGGAUAGUCCUUGAAGGCCAGAGAGUCUGGCAGGAUUUGGAUAACUAUACCCUAGCAGCUGCAGUGCUGUUUGGACUAAUGUACACUUUGAACCUCACCUACCCACUGGAAAAGUAUACCUUCGAGGUAUUAUAGAAACUGGUUAUGGAGCUCAAAAGGAACAGCCUUUCAAAGAAGGCCCAGGUUUUCAGGACCAGACUGUACGAUUGAACAGUUUUCCAGUUAUGAUGUGGGAACAACAUGUUUACCUCUUCGAAUAUGUACCAUCCUUUCUUUUAAGCCAGCACUGGUAAAGUUGCAGUACAUAGUGAAACUUAUUUUUCUGGCACUUUUCAACUUGGGGCCUUUACUACUGCAGUGUUCAGUGUUCACUUUUCAAGCCAUGGCUCUUUUGAAAAAAAAAUUCAAACUUUGAAUGUCCAUUUUUCUCAAUGGAAAUGGUGCCUUGCACCAAUUUCACCAGUUUGCAAUUUCUUUCCCAAGGUGCACCACUACAAACAGAUUGCAUGGUCUAGUAUUAGUGAUUGUGAUGUUUAGUGAUAGAAGCAAGCCAAUACUAAUCAGUUUAGGUCUCUUGGUUUUGUGCCUGUGGGUUAUAAUGUUAUUUUAAGUCUCUUCUUUGUGUCAUUUUAAUAAUUACACCCCUGUUGCCAUAUUACCUUAUGGCUCUUACAUUUAAAAAACUAUUUUUUACAUAAGCGUGAUGUCAUAAGGCCCCACAAUGUUGAAUCCAGGUUACAGCAGAUAACUUUGAGGAAUGUUGUGGAAUGUUUUUCAAGAGAUGCAUUGUACAAAUAUGACUCAUGUAUAUUUUGGAAGCCUGAAUUGAAAGUCCAUUGUUACAACUGUGUAGUAUUUUCAAAAAUACAGGUCAUUGUUCAAAAAUGUUUUGCUUAUUUCUUUGAUUGAAGAGAAAGUGUACAGUACAUACAGUAAGAUCAGCCUUAAUUUAGUUUUAUUUAUUGAACACUCAAUUAUAUAUUAGAUUAUAUAUUAUAUAUUAGAAAUUUGUUAUAAAAUAAAAUAAGCUUACCAUAAAAUAAUCUUGUCAAUAUAACACAUAGUAGUUCAAUACAAUUAACACAAAAAGUUCAUGUCUGAUAAACAAGUGGUUUCUAUAAAUAUUUGACCGGAAUGAAAAACGUAACAACAACAUAAAAAAGUCAUGUUCAUGUUACCAGAAAAAUGUGUGCAGGUAUAACAUAAAAAAACUAAGGUUAACCAAACAUAACUUAAUUUCGUGCAACCGAUUACAAUAAUUUUUUUAUGUUUAUCCCACUGAUUAUUUUUUUCAGU